rnacentral:tmRNA from 1 species
AGUCUUCACUUUUUAUUAGUCUGUGAUAUAUUAGUAAAUGUUAAGUUUUGCUUAACUAUGGUGAUAAACGUUGCUCAAAAUAAGCAAUACGGACCCGGGGGCAGAACCCGGCACCUCCACCAAAACAAUAUAUGGGGGUGACACAGCUUCGACGUUUGUGGUAAAGGUGUAAUUUUCACUCAGCAUGAUACCGCUGUAUAAUGGAUCAUUUUACAAAUGCCAACGAUAACAAUGGUAUUGGACUUGUAGCAGCAAACGAUAACUUCCAAGCGGAAGUUGCAAACGCUGCAUAGGUUCGCGGAUAGGGGGCGCCGGGCAACAGAACGCCCCCACU